UACCAGUUCUUGCAUAGCCAAUCCCUCUUAUUUAUUAAUAUUUAAAGAAUAUGGUAUUUAUUUAGAUAAAUAGUAAUUUAGAUUAUUAUUUUUUUUUUUAUUUAUUUAUUUUCUUUUUYUGUUUAUUUAAGACUGGAUUGAGUGAUAAUUAUAUAUAUAAGUUAUUUUACUUUUCUUUUCCAUAUAAAUGGAUUAGAGAACUAGUAUAAAUAUUUUAAAUUUAUAGAUAUUAAUUUAUCC
rnacentral:rRNA from 1 species